GGGGAUAUAGCUCAGUUGGUAGAGUGCUUGCCUAGCAUGCACAAGGCUCUGGGUUCAAUCCCCAGCACCACCA
rnacentral:tRNA from 1 species